CCUACGGGAGGCAGCAGUUAGGAAUAUUGGACAAUGGGGGCAACCCUGAUCCAGCCAUGCCGCGUGUGUGAAGAAGGCCUUAGGGUUGUAAAGCACUUUCAGCUGUGAAGAUAAUGACAGUAGCAGAAGAAGAAGCUCCGGCUAAAUUCGUGCCAGCAGCCGCGGUAAUACGAAUGGAGCGAGCGUUGUUCGGAAUCACUGGGCGUAAAGGGUGCGCAGGCGGUCAUGAAAGUUAGAAGUGAAAUCCCAGGGCUUAACCCUGGAAUGGCUUUUAAAACUCCAUGACUAGAGUACUGGAGAGGUUGGCGGAAUUCCGAGUGUAGAGGUGAAAUUCGCAGAUAUUCGGAGGAACACCAAUGGCGUAGGCAGCCAACUGGACAGUAACUGACGCUCAUGCACGAAAGCGUGGGGAUCAAACAGGAUUAGAUACCCUGGUAGUCCACGCCCUAAACGAUGUGUGCUAGUUGUCGGUUCGUUAGUACGUACGGUGACGCAGCUACGUACUUAGUACACACCGCCGUGGGAGGUACGGUCGCGAGAGUAAACUAACUAAUAGUUAGUUAGUAGCGUUGAGCGNGCCGACGGACGACGACGAGGGAGGAGG
rnacentral:rRNA from 1 species